rnacentral:rRNA from 1 species
UACGGAGGGUGCAAGCGUUGUUCGGAAUUAUUGGGCGUAAAGGGCGCGUAGGUGGUUGUGAUAGUCAGAUGUGAAAUCCUUCGGCUCAACCGAAGAACUGCAUCUGAAACUUCAUAGCUCGAGUACAGGAGAGGGAAACGGAAUUCCCGGUGUAGAGGUGAAAUUCGUAGAUAUCGGGAGGAACACCAGUGGCGAAGGCGGUUUCCUGGCCUGAUACUGACGCUGAGGCGCGAAAGCGUGGGGAGCAAAC